ensembl:misc_RNA Y_RNA Y RNA
AAUUGGUGGGAAGGUAGUGAGUUACCUUAACUGAUUGUUCACAAUAGGUUAUAAAUUGAACUUCUUGUUCUACUCCUUCCCUCCUUCUCACUACUGUACUUGAUGAGUCUUUC